GAUGAAGAACGUAGUGAAAUGCGAUAAGUAGUGUGAAUUGCAGAAUUCAGUGAAUCAUCGAAUCUUUGAACGCACAUUGCGCCCCUUGGUAUCCCGAGGGGCAUGCCUGUUCGAGCGUCAUUUCACCACUCAAGCCUGGCUUGGUGUUGGGCGACGUCCCCUUUGGGGACGCGCCUCGAAACGCUCGGCGGCGUGGCACCGGCUUUAAGCGUAGCAGAAUCUUUCGCUUUGGAAGUCGGGGCCCCGCCUGCCGGAAUACCUACUUGUAAGGUUGACCUCGGAUCAGGCAGGGAUACCCGCUGAACUUAAGCAUAUCAAUAAGCGGAGGA
rnacentral:misc_RNA from 1 species